CAACAACAACACCACCACCAACACAACAAGAACCUCCAAAGCCACCAACACAACAAGAACCUUCAAAGCCUCAACCAACAACAACACCACCACCAACACAACAAGAACCUCCAAAGCCUCAACCACCACCAACAACAACACAGCAAAAACCUCCAAAGCCUCAACCACCACCAACAACAACACCAACAAAACUAGAACCUCCAAAGCCUCAGCAAACAACAAAAACCGAUCACAAAACACAUGCUCC
rnacentral:lncRNA from 1 species